rnacentral:rRNA from 1 species
GAUGAACGCUAGCUACAGGCUUAACACAUGCAAGUCGUGGGGCAUCAUGAUGUAGUAAUACAUUGAUGGCGACCGGCGCACGGGUGAGUAACGCGUAUCCAACCUACCCUCCACUCAAGUAUAGGCUUCCGAAAGGGAGAUUAAUCCUUGAUAUCGUCAUUCUCUCUCCUGUUAGAAUGAUAAAAGGACAUCGUUUCGGUAGAGGAUGGGGAUGCGUUCCAUUAGGUAGUAGGUGGUUUAACAGGCCACCUAGCCGAUGAUGGAUAGGGGUUCUGAGAGGAAUAUCCCCCACACUGGUACUGAGAUACGGACCAGACUCCUACGGGAGGCAGCAGUGAGGAAUAUUGGUCAAUGGGCGCAAACCUGAACCAGCCAUGUAGCGUGAAGGAUGACGGUUUUUUUGAUUGUAAACUUCUUUUCUGUGCGA